rnacentral:rRNA from 1 species
UACAGAGGGUGCGAGCGUUAAUCGGAAUUACUGGGCGUAAAGCGUGCGUAGACGGUUAUCUAAGUCGGAUGUGAAAGCCCCGGGCUCAACCUGGGAACUGCAUUUGUGACUGCAUGGCUGGAGUGCGGCAGAGGGGGGGAUGGAAUUCCGCGUGUAGCAGUGAAAUGCGUAGAUAUGCGGAGGAACACCGAUGGCGAAGGCAAUCCCCUGGGCCUGCACUGACGCUCAUGCACGAAAGCGUGGGGAGCAAACAGG